AAGACUUUUAAAGCCCAC
rnacentral:snRNA from 1 species